rnacentral:rRNA from 1 species
AGAGUUUGAUCCUGGCUCAGGACGAACGCUGGCGGCGUGCUUAAUACAUGCAAGUCGAGCGAGGUUACUGUUUUGGAUCCCUUCGGGGUGAAGAAGCUUUAACCUAGCGGCGGACGGGUGAGUAACGCGUGGGUAACCUACCCCAAAGUCCGGGAUAACAGCGGGAAACCGCUGCUAAUACCGGAUGCCUUUACCUUGGGGCAUCUUGAGGUAAAGAAAGGCAACGCUUUGGGAUGGGCCCGCGUCCCAUUAGCUAGUUGGUGAGGUAACGGCUCACCAAGGCGACGAUGGGUAGCCGGCCUGAGAGGGUGGACGGCCACACUGGGACUGAGACACGGCCCAGACUCCUACGGGAGGCAGCAGUAGGGAAUAUUGCGCAAUGGACGGAAGUCUGACGCAGCGACGCCGCGUGAGCGAUGAAGGUCUUCGGAUCGUAAAGCUCUGUCCUUGGGGAAGAAGGUCUUCGGACUUGACGGUACCCAAGAAGAAAGCCCCGGCUAACUACGUGCCAGCAGCCGCGGUAAU